UUGGCAGUUCCAAGACUUUUUAGAGAAUAUUCACAGAAUCACAGAAUUGUAGGUGUUGGAAGGGACCUCAAGAGGUCAUCGGGUCCAACCCCCAUAUUGUUUCAUUGCAUAUCAAAACAUUUGAUAGGAGAAGCACCAUCAUACUAAACAUUCUGACAAUAUAAUUGUCUGCAAUCAAACAGCCUGCUGGAGGAAAAAGGGAUCUGAAUUUUGAGUAAUUAAAAAGAUGGUUAUCUAAUCCCUCAAGAGCACUUAAGGACAGUAAGACUAUGAAGAGACAGAGAACAACAACUGAAGUUCCACCGCAAGCUAACCAAAAGAACUGUGAUUUUUCAGACUAUUGCCUGUGGCUCUUUCACAAGAAAUGGUCUCAAAGCCACUGGGUGGAUGUCUACUCAAGAGGAGAAAAUCAGGAAUAUGCAAUGAGCCCCCAGGGAAUGGAGAGACAGAUUGAUCAACAAUAAAAUCUGCUUCGGGCGUCAUAAAUCUUAGACAAAAGGUGUCCAUUUCAAACAUGCUGUUUACUUCUUCCACUUUCAUGAAGAACAGAAGAAGCAAGAACUUGGUUUCCAUCAGUGAAACAUGAGGUAUUCUGGAGCAGAACACUUAAAAAUGCAGAAUGGCGUUGCUUUUGACAUUAUUAUCUUGAAUCUU
rnacentral:lncRNA from 1 species